GUGUUUACACUAGACUGAUGAGUUGCGAACGGGUGAGUAACGCGUAGGUAACCUGCCUCAUAGCGGGGGAUAACUAUUGGAAACGAUAGCUAAUACCGCAUAAGAGUGAUUAACACAUGUUAGUUAUUUAAAAGGAGCAAUUGCUUCACUGUGAGAUGGACCUGCGUUGUAUUAGCUAGUUGGUGAGGUAAAGGCUCACCAAGGCGACGAUACAUAGCCGACCUGAGAGGGUGAUCGGCCACACUGGGACUGAGACACGGCCCAGACUCCUACGGGAGGCAGCAGUAGGGAAUCUUCGGCAAUGGACGGAAGUCUGACCGAGCAACGCCGCGUGAGUGAAGAAGGUUUUCGGAUCGUAAAGCUCUGUUGUUAGAGAAGAACGUUGGUAGGAGUGGAAAAUCCACCAAGUGACGGUAACUAACCAGAAAGGGACGGCUAACUACGUGCCAGCAGCCGCGGUAAUACGUAGGUCCCGAGCGUUGUCCGGAUUUAUUGGGCGUAAAGCGAGCGCAGGCGGUUCUUUAAGUCUGAAGUUAAAGGCAGUGGCUUAACCAUUGUACGCUUUGGAAACUGGAGGACUUGAGUGCAGAAGGGGAGAGUGGAAUUCCAUGUGUAGCGGUGAAAUGCGUAGAUAUAUGGAGGAACGCCGGUGGCGAAAUCGGCUCUCUGGUCUGUAACUGACGCUGAGGCUCGAAAGCUCGGGGAGCAAACAGGAUUAGAUACCCUGGUAGUCCACGCCGUAAACGAUGAGUGCUAGGUGUUAGGCCCUUUCCGGGCGGAUAGUGCCGCAGCUAACGCAU
rnacentral:rRNA from 1 species